GAUCUCAUUCUCCUGGAGCGUGUGAGUGUGUGAGUGGAGUUAGAAAGCAGGGAUGGAGAAAGAGGCGUAGUUAACAAGAGCAAGAGGAAGGAGGUAUGAAUGAGAGUGUGUGUGAGAUUAGAGCUGGGAAGAUCGUGGAAGCGACGGGACACAAGCAACACUACUGUCUGCAAAGAUCAUGAGGGGUAUCCGAGGGCAUGCAGUCAGAAUGGUGCUUCCUGAAUUAUGUUACACAAUACUCUCUAAAUGGUGGAUCCUCAGAGAGGAAGACGGUGACAGAUGAUGUGUUCAGACGGCGAUGAUGGGGCAGGGCAGCUGGUGUUGUGAAUCAGGCCGCCGUGGUGAAAGGGUACGGCUUCUUCACAACACCAGGGUCUCACCUCAUCACACACAACGACACCAUUUACACCCUCGCACAUCAACCUGUCAGUUGACCCAGUGAGAGGACGCAGCUUUCCCAUCAUAUGUCAUAAAAAUGAACCUGUGUCUGCUGAUGACUGAUGAAGACGCAUGGAGAAGAGACGCUGUUCUGCUCUGAACUUACAGAGGAUUCAGUUCAUUUGUGUGGUUGCGUAUUUUAUAGUAAUUCAAAUAAUUAAAUUGCAGUGACUGUUGAUAUUAAUAACAUAAAUGUAAUAUCAUUGAGAAAUAAGAAUUGCACUUGAAUAGCCAAGGUAAAAUCUAAUAUCUUGUCAUAUGAUUUUUUUUAUGCAGCAGAAGAAUAUUGGAACUUAAAAUGUAUAAUGAUAAAAAUGUAAAUAAAAAUGGUAUAAUAAACAACACAAAAAAGUAUAAUAAAAUAUAAUACAAUUA